AUGACUCUCGCUACAAAAACCUAUUCCGAUUAUGAGUACUUAUUACAACUAUACACGGCAAGGAAACAGAGAGCGGAGUCUCCUAUUCCGACUAUUCCGAUACUAUACCGCACCGAACGUACACGUCGUGCUGCCUCACCAGCCCAUAUAUGGCUAGCUCUAGGGUCGCUUACCCUCAUCGGCGGACGAUACCAUCAAUUGUCACGAACCAAACGCCGCUGCCGCUCGCUCGCCUUACGUCCCGCGCGCGGCCAUGUCAGACCUCCCGCCGCACCCUGGCGCUUGGCCCGUCGACCCUGGGUACUCACCGAUUCAAAGUGCCACAUCGGCGACCGCGACAACGCGACCACCGCCCAUGCCGUCACGAGCCAGAAGAGCGACAUCAAGGUGACUUUCGAGCUCGCCAACCCGCCCGGCGUCUCUGGCUGCUUCGUCUACUGCCCCGGCCUGGUGGAGAGACACUACCGAGGAGAUCCCCUGGUUCUGAGCUCGGCGGACGCGUUCAUCCUUCUCGUCAUACCGUUCACCAGCAGCUCCACGCGCAAGGAGUGCAACGACUUCUUCGUCUACAAGGCAGGUCCAGGGGCUCCAUCUCUCUGUCUUCUUCCCGACAAUGUUACUCUGGCCGGCGUCGUGCCCCUCGGCGGAGCCGAUCUUAACAACAAAGGCUACGCCGUGGUCUUCCCGCGAUACACCAACGACCAUAUCGACAAGAAGUACAAGUACAUCCUCCAAGUAUAUCGCUCCGAUGUCUCUUACUGUCCGUGGCGCAAAGAGGUGGCCAACAUCGCCAUGGACACCAAGUACCACAAUCACGAGGUAAUAAUGCGGCACGAAGGCACCCGUGUGAUCUUCGCCGGUAAGGAAACACUCGGCUGGGUCAAUCAUUGGCAUGGCAUUAUUCUAUGCAACGUGCUCGACCACCGUCCGGCCAUGCAUUUCAUCCAAUGGCCUGUUCCGAUUUCUUGCGAUCUUGUGCCACGGUUUGGAAUGGGAGUUUACAAUAUCUAUGCACGGCCCUUCCGCGACGUCGUUAUAAGCAAUGGCAUGAUUAGGUUCGUUGAGCUGAAAUCUUGUCGAUAUAGCCAUACCCACAAUGAGAAAGGGAUCAUUGGCCAAGGCUGGACGGUCACCACAUGGAACAGGGGGAUCUGCUCAAAGAAGUGGAACAAGAGCUUCACUCUCAAGGCCGAUAACGUGCCUCUCACAGAUUUUAGUUACCCUAAGGUAUCAGGUGACAAGAGGUUGAGCUGGGACAAGGUGGUUCACGGCGGGCCCACUCUGAGCUUGUGUGACAACGAUAUUGUCUACAUCAUGCUAGAUUGGACACCCGCCACCGGGUUGCAUGGAUGCUUGCCAUUAAUAUCAGAGAGGGAACACUAG
rnacentral:rRNA from 1 species